GCCACCAUGUCUUCAUUGAUGAUCCAAUUGUCGCUUGUCAUUGAAGCGUCCUCUCCUGGGCACCGCCAGAUAGAAACUCGUGUCGCUAACGAGUGAACGUCUUGAGACAUUUUUAUCAGGACUAGAUUAUGUGAUAUUCUCCCGUUGCAACGCACGGGCAUGUGUGCUAGUCUCUCCCUAAUAAUAAAGCACAGAUUAGGUCUUCGGGUUCACCGUCGCGUCCUUUUUACAGAAAAGCCCCUGCUCUUUUGACUAUUUGACCCGCAAUCCAUCAUUAUAAUUAUAAUCUGCCAGAAAACGGUUCGAUGAAAAAAAGAAACCCGUACUCAUCCUCGCCUCGACCCUGGCCUCUGCCCAAGCCAACCCAAAUCCUUCAGCCGCCGCCACCUCACUCGCUGCCGCCCUCAACCAGCCCGUCGCUGCGGCCGACCUCAACUCGCCCUCCGCCGCGGCCGCACCUCUGGCCGCUCGCCGCCCCCACCAAUGCCGCUGCGCUUGAGCGCAACUUCUGCCCUGACGCGCAGCCAGAGCAAACCACAGCCACCUGAAAGACCCCGUGGCGCCGCUGACACAUGAGUCCGAGGAUGCAGGGGGGUGGGGAGCAGGAGGAUGCAGAGGGCGCGGGGAGCAGUAGGUUGGGUCAGAACUGGAUGAUGAGUGUGUGGGCCACUCGACGGUGCUCUCUCGGAGAUGCGUCGCAGGUCACGGACGACGAGGAGCUGAAGAAAGGUAGCGGCCUGGGAAUCUACAGAGGAAGGAGAUGCGUCGCAGACUCGCAUGUCACGCACAAGGAGCCGGAGGAAAGUAGCGGCCCUUGGAAUUUACAGUGCAAAGCUUAUGUGCUAACCUUUGUAAUCUAUGUGGUCUGUUGUGCUUCUGCUGCAGCAGCUUGGAGGCGCGGCAGCUCCCGUUGAAGCUCAGCGGCCCUGCGCUCCCGCUGCAUCUUGGAGGCGCGGCGGCUCCCACUGCAGCGCGGAGGCUCCAGCUGAAGCUCGGAGGGGCGGCGGUUCCCGGUGGCCCCAACAGACACGGGUGGGAUCCCAACUGAAUCUCGAUGCAGACGCUGACCAGCUAUGAAGCUCCACACAUCACCUAUGUCACCGUUGUUUCCAUCUACUGCCACCGUUAAGGGAGCACUGUAGCUUCCUUGCCUUCGCUCCAGCACGUCAGAGGAGUCGAUUCCGUUGAUGACCCCUUAUUCCUCGCAGGAUAUGCCCAAGGAAAUAUUUUCUUUCGAUGCUCAUAUGUGAUCACGGAUGAUGAGGCCGACACAAUCGAGUUCAAUGGGUAGAGCAGGAAUAUAUGGACAAACCUUGACGGCCUCAACACCGCUUGUGAUGAUAAGUCGAGCGGCAUGUGAUGUAUCAUCGAAUACAUUGAUGAUUUUGUUGGAGCGGACAGCCACCAACGACGGAGAGGAGGAGCAUGAGGACCACGAUGUUGUUGAAGCAAACUCAAAUGGGAGAAGGGUUUGCAAUAUCGAGGAAAUAAUCAUCAGGGUCGUUUUUCUUGAGGUACUAUUCA